GAGGACUUAGCUUAAUUAAAGUAAUUGAUUUGCGUUCAGUUGAUGUAGGAGAAGUCUUGCAGUCCUUA
rnacentral:tRNA from 3 species